UACAUGUGGGGCAAGCGUUGUUCGGAAUUACUGGGCCUAAAGGGUGCGUAGGCGGCUUGAUAAGUCAGUGGUGAAAUCGUCCGGCCCAACCGGACACGUGCCAAUGAUACUGUCGAGCUAGAGUGCGUGAGGGGUGGGGGGAACGAGCAGUGUAGCGGUGAAAUGCGUAGAUAUUGCUCGGAAGGCCAAAGCCGAAGGGACCCCACUGGUACGCAACUGACGCUGAGGCACGAAAGCUAGGGGAGCAAACAGG
rnacentral:rRNA from 1 species